rnacentral:rRNA from 1 species
GACCUGCGGAAGGAUCAUUACAGAGCAAGGGUCUUUCAGGCCCGACCUCCCACCCGGUGUCUAUCUACCUUUGUUGCUUUGGCGGGCCCGCUGGGGAGACCCACCGGCGGCCCCGGCUGCCGAGCGCCCGCCAGAGACCUACCAAACUCGAUUAAUCGUGUCGUCUGAGUAACCAACACAAUAGUUAAAACUUUCAACAACGGAUCUCUUGGUUCUGGCAUCGAUGAAGAACGCAGCGAAAUGCGAUAAGUAAUGUGAAUUGCAGAAUUCAGUGAAUCAUCGAAUCUUUGAACGCACAUUGCGCCCCUUGGUAUUCCGGGGGGCAUGCCUGUUCGAGCGUCAUUACACCACUCAAGCUCGGCUUGGUAUUGGGCCUUCGUCCCCCGCGGACGGGCCUGGAACCCAGUGGCGGCACAGCCCGGCUUCAAGCGUAGUAACUUAACCGUCGCUUUGGAAGCCCCGGGCCUGGGCCUGCCAGACAACCCCCAAUUUUUUCAAAGGUUGACCUCGGAUCAGGUAGGGAUACCCGCUGAACUUAAGCAUAUCAAUAAGCGGAGGAAAAGAAACCAACAGGGAUUGCCUCAGUAACGGCGAGUGAAGCGGCAACAGCUCAAAUUUGAAAUCUGGCCCUUGCAGGGUCCGAGUUGUAAUUUGUAGAGGAUGCUUCGGGUCCGGCUCCGGUCUAAGUUCCUUGGAACAGGACGUCACAGAGGGUGAGAAUCCCGUACGUGACCGGCCGCCACGCCCGUGUGAAGCUCCUUCGACGAGUCGAGUUGUUUGGGAAUGCAGCUCAAAAUGGGUGGUAAAUUUCAUCUAAAGCUAAAUACCGGCCAGAGACCGAUAGCGCACAAGUAGAGUGAUCGAAAGAUGAAAAGCACUUUGGAAAGAGAGUUAAAAAGUACGUGAAAUUGUUGAAAGGGAAGCGCUUGCAACCAGACUUGCCCGCGGGUGAUCAGCCGGUAUUCUUACCGGUGCACUCGCCCGUGGUCAGGCCAGCAUCGGUUUGGGCGGCUGGACAAAGGCCCCCGGAAUGUAGCUCCUCUCGGGGAGUGUUAUAGCCGGAGGUGCAAUGCAGCCAGCCCGGACCGAGGACCGCGCU